rnacentral:rRNA from 1 species
GACGUAGGGCGCGAGCGUUGUCCGGAUUUAUUGGGCGUAAAGAGCUCGUAGGCGGUUUGUCGCGUCUGCUGUGAAAACUCGGGGCUUAACUCCGGGCCUGCAGUGGGUACGGGCAGACUAGAGUGCGGUAGGGGAGACUGGAAUUCCUGGUGUAGCGGUGAAAUGCGCAGAUAUCAGGAGGAACACCUAUGGCGAAGGCAGCUCGCUGGGACGGUACUGACGCUGAGGCGCGAAAGCGUGGGGAGCAAACAGG